rnacentral:rRNA from 1 species
AAUAUUCGUCAAUGGGCUAAUGCCUGAUCCAGCCAUUCCGCGUGUGUGAAGAAGUUCUUUGGAUUGUAAUGCACUUUAAGUUGGGCGGAAGUUCAGUAAGUUAUUACCUUGCUGUUUUGACGUUACUGACCGAAUAAGCUCCGUCUAACUUCGUACCACCAGCCGCGGUAAUACGAAGGGUGCAAGCUUUAAUCGGAAUUAAUUGGAGUAAAGCGCGGGUAGGUGGUUUGUUAAGUAGGAAGGGAAAGCCCCGGGAUCAACCUGGGAACUGCAGUAAAAACUGGCAAGCUAGAGUAUGGAAGAGGGUGGUGGAAUUUCCUGUGUAGCGGUGAAAUGCGUAGAUAUAGGAAGGAACAACAGUGGCGAAGGCGACCACCUGGGCUAAUACUGACACUGAGGUGCGAAAGCGUGGGGAGCAAAC